rnacentral:rRNA from 1 species
GACAGAGGCCUCGAGCGUUAGGCGGAAUCACUGGGCUUAAAGCGUGUGUAGGCGGAUCGUUAAGUACCUUGUGAAAUCCCACGGCUCAACCGUGGAACGGCUGGGUAUACUGGCGGUCUUGGGCCAUUCAGGGGCGACUGGAACAAGCGGUGGAGCGGUGAAAUGCGUAGAUAUCGUUUGGAACGCCGAAGGUGAAAACAGGUCGCUGGGGAUGUGCCGACGCUGAGACACGAAAGCCAGGGAGGCAAACGGGAUUAGA